UGCUGUGAAGAGGGCUGCUGCUGCCGCUCGGCCCUCAGGGGAGCCGCAGCAGCACGGGUUUUUUUUUUUUAAAGUCAUCCUUACAAGGUUGCGGUGGUAGACGCACUACCACCCUACUGCCAAGGCAGCCUGGAUCAUAUCACAGAACCUCGAUAGGGCCAGAGAUCAGAGAAGAGAAGAGAAGUUUUUGUUCCACCACACACCUACUGGAAACCUCAACAGCCAGGUGACACCACACACCUACUGGAGUUCUCAACAGCUAGGUGACAACUACAGCCACUGCCAUGACCACACAGAUCAUCUAGAGCUCUGCAGUUGACAGGCCCAGAGCUCCACUUGAAUCUUGGAUCUUGAACUUGAAAGCUCUCCAGUUGCAGGCCCAGAGCUCCAGCCUUGUACCCCAGAGGCUCCCUGCACCAAAGGGGGGGGUCUACACACCACCAAGGUGUGGAUGGGUUUUGGUAAACCAGGGCCCUUCCUGGUGGGGUGACCGGGAUUCGAACCCAGGAUCUCUCGAAGCCUUAACGAAAUCGGCUCGAGUGUCUUAACCAUUUAGACGACCCCCCCCCCCUGCCAGCUCUGGGUGCUUCCCCCCGCCACCAGAGCUGGCAGCGAGGGCGAGGCCACGGCAGGUGGUCCGCGGGCGCCACCAGCGGCAGCCGCUGCGUCACCCACACCCGCCGCCUCCUGCAUCUGCACGUCCCUGGAGUGUCCAGCUUAUGUGCAGGCGAGGACGUGGCUGCAGCAGCUGUGGGCCUGCAUUGCGCCCCAGGCAGCGGCGCCGCCAGUGACGGACGCGUGCUUCAUGCUGGGGGACCGCAUGGGUAUGUGGGCCUCAGGCCCGCGGGGGGCGGGCGCGCUGCUGUGGAGCACUUUGCGGGCCACCUUCUUGUACGCCGUCUGGUGUGCGUACUGGUCCCGCGAGCCUGCUAAGCAGACGUCGGAGCAUGUGGUUCGGGAGGUGGUCAUCAGCGAGCUGCGCAGGGUGAUGCAGCUGCGUUUCACUGCCGCCACGCUAACCCCUGAAACCCUGUCGGCUCUGCCCACUCAGCUUCUCACCGCACAGCUCAAGGCGGCUAAGCUGGAGCACUUUGUUGCCAUCUGGUCGGCGGGUGGCGCGCUUUGUGAAGUGGAGGAGGUUCAGGGUGGGUCACCGAAGUUGAACUUGCGGCUGACGCUUGCAUUUUUUGUUUUCAGGAAUCAUCCUUACAAGGUUGAACAGGGGCAGACGCGCUGCCCCCCUGCUGCCUGAAAGCAGCCUGGUCCCCGAGACCAGAUCACCUGUGCAGGCCCCCUAGGUUUCCUUUUGGGCGGCUUUUCUAUCCAAGCGCUGGCGUGGUGUACUAUCGUCAUCAGCUUAUCUGGCGUCCAUGUGUUUUAGCUCUGGCUGGCGUCGCAGCGCCUGGGCGGCUGUGGGACUUCCUGCACAGCGCGUCUUGCAGCGGGCUGGAGCCCACUUAGUCAGCGCCACAUCUGGCCCGUUUAGUUUUCUGCUUGUGUCUCCUCUGCCGGUUCUCCUGGGGUGUUGCUUAAGCAACCGACUUGUGGGGGUGGGGUGGGUUUGGGCGGGGCGAGUGCGUUGCGCUGGUGUUUUCUUUUCUGGCGCACGGUGGUGGUUUUUUUUUUUGAGGAAUCAUCCUUACAAGGUUGAACAGGGGCAGACGCGCUGCCCCCCUGCUGCCUGAAAGCAGCCUGGUCCCCGAGACCAGAACCCUGACAGGGCAAGAAGAGAAGAAAAGAGAAGAAAAACAGAAAACAAACACCUCGAAAACCGCCACCAACCACCCCCAUCCAUCCCACCCCACCCCACCCCGACCCGGCAGACAGAGCAGGAGGCUGGCCCCCCCGCCCCCCGGGAGGGGUUGCAAAAAAACACCGCCAGGCCUAACCCAAGCACCAACCUACACCACAGCCUAACCGCAAGAACCACCACCACCGCGCGCCAGAAAUAGAAACACCAGCGCUACGCACUCGCCCCGCCCAAACCCACCCCACCCCCACAAGUUGGUUGCUUAAGCAACACCCCAGGAGAACCGGCAGAGGAGACACAAGCAGAAAACUAAACGGGCCAGAUGUGGCGCUGACUAAGCGGGCUCCAGUCCGCUGCAAGACGCGCUGUGCAGGAAGUCCCACAGCCGCCCAGGCGCUGCGACGCCAGCCAGAGCUAAAACACAUGGGCGCCAGAUAAGCUGAUGACGAUAAACGCCACGCCAGCGCCUGGAACAAACCGCUGCCAAAAAGGAAACCUAGGGGGCCUGCACAGGUGAUGCAAGCGUCAGCCGCAAGUUCAACUUCGGUGACCCACCCUGAACCUCCUCCACUUCACAAAGCGCGCCACCCGCCGACCAGAUGGCCACAAAGUGCUCCAGCUUAGCCGCCUUGAGCUGUGCGGUGAGAAGCUGAGUGGGCAGAGCCGACAGGGUUUCAGGGGUUAGCGUGGCGGCAGUGAAACGCAGCUGCAUCACCCUGCGCAGCUCGCUGACCACCUCCCGAACCACAUGCUCCGACGUCUGCUUAGCAGGCUCACGGGACCAGUACGCACACCAGACGGCGUACAAGAAGGUGGCCCGCAAAGUGCUCCACAGCAGCGCGCCCGCCCCCCGCGGGCCUGAGGCCCACAUACCCAUGCGGUCCCCCAGCAUGAAGCACGCGUCCGUCACUGGCGGCGCCGCUGCCUGGGGCACAACGCAUGCCCACAGCUGCUGCAGCCACGUCCUCGCCUGCGCAUAAGCUGGACACUCCAGGAAGAUGUGCGUCAGGCUGGCCCACGCCCGCGGGCCAGGUGGCCCGCAGGCGGGGUGAGGACAGUGCGCCCCCAACCCCCCGCACCCCGUGGUCACCCGUGGCCGAAUGCCCUUGCCCGCCCUGUACAGCCCGCAAGGCAGGUAAGCAUGUUGCAGCCGGUACACCAGCACCUUUGCCCCCCGACUGGCGUGGCUGUCCCACAGCCUCCGCCACGUACCCCGCAGAAGGGACGCAUCCGGGGGCGGCAUGCGAGGGUCGCCCUCCACCGCCGCUGCUGCUGCCGCCGCCGCCGUGGCAGGCCCAGUGCUAGGUCCCGCCCCUCCCGCCGCCUGCUCCUGCAGCCGCGCGGACCGCCGCGGCCCCUCACCCGACUGCUGGGACGGGGACGCAUACGACUGCAGUUCUCUCGCCGGCGUGUUCUGCUGCCCGGCUGCCGCGGAGGUGCGGUGGAGCCAGGGGUCCAGAGCCACCGGGUUAUUGUGGAAAUGCUGCGCCGCCGUGGUGGUCAGCUGCGCCGCUGCAUGCUGCCACUCCGCCUCCCGCUCCGCCAGCCGCGACUGUGCCGCCGGCUGGGGCCCCGAAUCCCCCGCCUGCUGUGUUGGCGCCGGGCACGGCAUGGCUGCGGGGCGGGCCGGAGCCGGAGGCGCGGCCGGGUUAUUAGCCGCGGUGAUGGCCCGCCGCACGUCCCGCACCGUGUAGUCCGCCAAGCUGACACCCGCAAUCCGGCAGUGCUCCGGGUGCACUACCACCCCAGCCUCCGGCGCCAGGAAGUACGGCGCCCGAGGCCACGCCCCCGCCCGUUCCCCUGGUGAUGCUGCAUCGUACGCCGCCCGCUCUUCAAAGGUCCACAGGUGCCACGGCUUGCGAUGCUGCAGCACACAGGCAGGCUGCCACGCCCCAUCCACCGCCGGGGGCAGCACGCCAGGCCCAGGCUCCAAGAGCCGCCCCGUGUAGUGGACGUAGGACAUAGCCCCCGCAGCGUUAGCCACCCACAGCUGGUCCAGGCUAACCCGCCACUGUGGCGGCGCCGCUGGCGGCUGAGUGGCUGGCUGCGGUGGAUGCUGUUCCACGCCCGCGCUCCGCACGUGGCCGACCGCGGCCGCCAGCCGGGCAGGCAGCCCCGCUGGCGCCGGCGCGUCGCUGUACACCCACGCCCACGUGGUGGCCGAGUCCGGGCGCACAUGAGUAAGCAGCGCCCGGGUGAGCAUCUUCCAGGGUUGCCGGCCUGGCUGGGCAAGGAGGGCGAAAGUCUUAGCUUGCAAGUUCAACUUCGGUGACCCACCCUGAACCUCCUCCACUUCACAAAGCGCGCCACCCGCCGCCCAGAUGGCCACAAAGUGCUCCAGCUUAGCCGCCUUGAGCUGUGCGGUGAGAAGCUGUGUGGGCAGAGCCGACAGGGUUUCAGGGGUUAGCGUGGCGGCAGUGAAACGCAGCCGCAUCACCCUGCGCAGCUUUUUUUUUUUGAGGAAUCAUCCUUACAAGGUUGAAGCUCGCUGACCACCUCCCGUACCACAUUUUGUUUUUUUGAGGGAUCAUCCUUACAAGGUUGAACAGGGGCACAUGCUCCGACGUCUGCUUAGCAGGCUCGCGGGACCAGUACGCACACCAGACGGCGUACAAGAAGGUGGCCCGCAAAGGCUUUUUUUUUAAGGCAUCGACCACGGCAGAGGUUGCUUAGCGAUAAGUUGGUGUGUAACGUCGGUUCAGACCCGAGUUUGAUUCUCCCCAAAUUCGGUACAGGGGAAACCUCUGUGCGUAUUCAAAUCACGCACAGUCGCUCCGCAGGGACCGCACGGCUCUUUAGUCGUGUCCUUGUCAUCCGUGGCUAACGUCAGAUAAGAGAGCGGUCGUAAAGUGCCGGCAAAGGGGCCGGACUCUGGAUUGAUCCAGAGUUUCAGUUGAGAUGUUGCCCAACAGUCGGCAUUACCUGAUCCCCCGAUCUCAGGUACCGAAAGCCGUGAGGGUAGAUCAUCCGAGCUGAACAUGGAUAGGACACCAGGGGCUUAAUCCACUAGCGGACCGCCAUGCGAUCCAUGGGGCGUGCCCCAAAGGGAGUCAAGUGACAUGGGACGCAACCUGACGCAAUGCACGGUGUUAUAGUGCUGAGCUUGAGAGCAGGCGUGUGCAAGUAGUGACCCUUCGUGGCGUAGAGGUGAGGUGAAAGGAGGCUGGUAUAGGAUUGGCGACUGAAGUCUCCGUAUGAUCUGGAGUGCCAGAGUUGUAACAUACGUACGUAGAGCGAAAGGUACUGCGGAUGCUGGCGUGCGCACAACCUUCCGGACCGGUGACUGGGGCGGGGUCGGGGUCAGGGGGGUCGGGGCUGUGCGUCGGACGGUUGGACGUCGAGCCCUACACGUUUUGCCGAUAACAGAGUCUCAGCAUCGCCGCAUUGCUUCAUAUACCGCAUGCACGCUCAGUCUGCAGGUAUUGAACAAAACGGCAGCAUGGCUAUUAAAAGUCGCGACUCCGCGGGACGAAGCGGGGCUGGCAAGAACUUCGUUGCGGCGAAACCGUCUUCGUAAUCCAGGAUGCCUUGAUAAAUUGAUAACAAUGCCUAAGAUGUAUAGCUCUGAUUUAUUGGGGCUGACAGCGCGGCUGUAUUAUGUGGAAAUGCUUGCGCUCGCAGCACACGCGCCCGCGAGGCUUCUGACAGGUAUAUAGGUGCCCAUGUUGAAGCCAUUUAUAUGUUAACAAAUUUAACUGGAUCAGCAGGAGCGUCUGCGAUAAGAUCGGCAUCUAACAUGUCUUUCUUGCAGCUGAGGAGUUCAUAACAUAUGUUUGAGUGUGUUAAAACUCUUGCUGUCACAGUUACUUUCGCGAUCGAGGUUCCCUGACUCGAGUCGGGUGACGGAUCUGCGUCGCUGGGGCCUCCUCUUCCUUGUGUACAGUGGCUUCGUGUAACUCAUUGCUUAUAUAAUAGCAGCGUGCAGUCGGCAGGCGGCGGGAACGUGUGUUUACCAACUUAGCGAAACCGUGCGUUCUGAAACGUAUGGGUGCGCCGCGCCCCCUGCGGGGGCCGGGGCACGCCAACCCCGCUCCCACCGGUGGGCAGGACCGGCAAAUGAUAAGGUGGUCGGGGUGACUUCCCGCCUUCUCUCGAACUGGGUUGAGAGAUGAUCAGCGAAGGCGUUGCCCCGUUAAUACAUGCUAGGCCCUAUGGGCCAGCGUUGGGAUUAUUAUUAUUAUUAUUUUUCCUAUAUCAUAAGAAGAAUACUUAUACAAGGUUUCGGUGCAAAGUGCUCCACAGCAGCGCGCCCGCCCCCCGCGGGCCUGAGGCCCACAGACCCAUGCGGUCCCCCAGCAUGAAGCAUGCGUCCGUCACUGGCGGCGCCGCUGUCUGGGGCGCAACGCAGGCCCACAGCUGCUGCAGCCACGUCCUCGCCUGCGCAUAAGCUGGACACUCCAGGAAGAUGUGCGUCAGGCUGGCCCACGCCCGCGGGCCAGGUGGCCCGCAGGCGGGGUGAGGACAGUGCGCCCCCAACCCCCCGCACCCCGUGGUCACCCGUGGGCGAAUUCCCUUGCCCGCCCGGUACAGCCCGCAAGGCAGGUAAGCAUGUUGCAGCCGGUACACCAGCACCUUUGCCCCCCGACUGGCGUGGCUGUCCCACAGCCUCUGCCACGUACCCCGCAGAAGGGACGCAUCCGGGGGCGGCAUGCGAGGGUCGCCCUCCACCGCCGCCACUGCUGCCGCCGCCGCCGUGGCAGGCCCCGUGCUAGGUCCCGCCCCACCCACCGCCUGCUCCUGCAGCUGCGCGGAACGCCGCGGCCCCUCACCCGAGUGCUGGGACGGGGACGCAUACGACUGCACAGUGCUCGUAUCUUCCUUCUUUUCGACAGAAAUUUGCCCCCAAAAGCCUCCGGCGGAAGAAAUUUUUGAUUCUGAAGUCCAAAAAUCUGUGAAAACGCUUCAGGUUUUGGGGGGUCUUUCUGAGAAUGGCAGAAGACAUUUUGGGGCGUUUCUGUCACUUGUCCGGGCCCAAGGCAAGGGUGACUGAGGUUCUCCAGGAUAAUCUACGGCCGUGUCCUGCUGGGGGGCACACCACGAUAGGCCAGCCUUCUACCAGGGUAGUCAUGCCGUGGGUGAGUGAGCAUGAUGAGCGUGGGUGAGGGCGCUGGGGUUUGGCGUGGGGAUGGGCCACGAUUUGCCAUGGAGCCAUGAAGCCGGUGCUUUAUUCAGCAAUAGCGUUAAUGUGGCAACAGCUACCUCACCCCGCACGCUGUAACAGUGGCACAUCCCGUGCGGCGGAAUAUUUUGCUGUGCCGGAGCCGGAACGGGGGCUGGGGGCAACUGCAGCCGCAUUUGGCACGCUGCAACAGGGCAAGCCUGACACACCCCUGGCCUGACACGAAUCGCGCAUAUGUUGGGGGCGGAGCCCCCGGAAAAAUUUUGGGGAUGAAAGAUGCGGCGGCAGCGGGUUUCUGAAAAUUAAAGAUGCCUGUUUUCGGAAAUCUGUCACUGGCGCCGCGCCUGCCUUCUUAAGAUACGAGCACUGCGACUGCAGUUCUCUCGCCGGCGUGUUCUGCUGCCCGGCUGCCGCGGAGGUGCGGUGGAGCCAGGGGUCCAGAGCCACCGGGUUAUUGUGGAAGUGCUGCGCCGCCGUGGUGGUCAGCUGCGCCGCUGCAUGCUGCCACUCCGCCUCCCGCUCCGCCAGCCGCGACUGUGCCGCCGGCUGGGUCCCCGAACCCUCCGCCUGCUGUGCCGGCGCCGGGCACGGCAUGGCUGCGGGGCGGGCCGGAGCCGGAGGUGUGGCCGGGUUAUUAGCCGCGGUGAUGGCCCGCCGCACGUCCCGCACCGUGUAGUCCGCCAAGCUGACACCCGCAAUCCGGCAGUGCUCCGGGUGCACCACCACCCCAGCCUCCGGCGCCAGGAAGUAUGGCGCCCGAGGCCACGCCCCCGCCCGUUCCCCUGGUGAUGCUGCAUCGUACGCCGCCCGCUCUUCAAAGGUCCACAGGUGCCGCGGCUUGCGGUGCUGCAGCACACAGGCAGGCUGCCACGCCCCAUCCACCGCCGGGGGCAGCACGCCAGGCCCAGGCUCCAAGAGCCGCCCCGUGUAAUGGACGUAGGACACAGCCCCCGCAGCGUUAGCCACCCAGAGCUGGUCCAGGCUAACCCGCCACUGUGGCGGCACCGCUGGUGGCUGAGUGGCUGGCUGCGGCGGAUGCUGUUCCACGCCCGCGCUCCGCACGUGGCCGACCGCGGCCGCCAGCCGGGCAGGCAGCCCCGCUGGCGCCGGCGCGUCGCUGUACACCCACGCCCACGUGGUGGCGGAGUCCGGGCGCACAUGGGUAAGCAGCGCCCGGGUGAGCGUCUUCCAGGGUUGCCGGCCUGGCUGGGCAAGGGCAUAUGACCGGGUGCACCGGCAGUGGCUUUUGUUUUUAAAGUCAUCCUUACAAGGGUGCGGCAACCCGGUCUCACCCGCGUUUUGUGCACCGUCCAAAUUUGCACUCGCUUUAACCCCGCAAAACUGGUCGGGGCAAAAGUCCGACUAGGAAUCCAACCUUAUGGGCAGCUUGCCAGCGUGUCAGAUCCGUAGUCCGACAUUUGCCCCAGUGCCGUACGGCCCUUUCCGUGUGGGGUCUCUUGGGGGCAGAUAGGGGGGUUCCCCGACGGCAAAAGGGUCACCCCUGAUUUCCCCGCGCUCUCAGGCAAUUCUCAUACAUAGCAUUGACUUGCUGGUUGAGUGGCAGGGCGGUCUGCGCUCGCCUGCGGUCGAAGUAGGUGGGUUUUGGCCAGCCAGCCAGCGGGCUCGAUGGGUACGUGCGGGCACGGAAACGUGCUGGAGGGGGCAUAAACUCACUCAACAUGCUAUUUAGACACAUAAUACCGCAUUGGAAUGUAUCCCGGAGCAAAAUGCGAGAAUCAACCGACUGGCCAUUUCGCGACCGAGCGAGGUCCCUCAAGCAGCCAUUUCCUCAAUAUAUCAACGUUGCCGUGCCUAUACGUAGCUAUAUGUAGAUGCUAGAGAGUCUCUGCGGGGGCUAAAAGCAGCUCUUCGCGCAAAAUGUCGGGGCAUGCAGCUGCAUUUCGCGAGCUCGGCGAGCGGACAGGCCGCGGCAGGGCCCAUAACAGCUAUUCAUAACAUACAUAUGUCAUGAAUAGGCACUUGGGGCGGUUUGGGCCUUGGACGGUGCCGCGUGUAUGGGCACGUCCCGGGUGCGUGAGACCGGGUUGGGGUGCGGAGUGCUGUCGAAACGCGAACGCGAAUGUGCGCGACACGAAGAGAAGUUGUAGUCGCUAGCACGCAUAGAAGGCCGGUUAGCAGGAGGCGGUCACAGCAGACAUGUUACCUCAUCCAGACGGUAAACGCCACGGGCAAUAGAGGAGCGCCGCCGACCCAUCACUGAUAUAACCAGGUUGCGAUGGCUAGGCUGUCGGACGGCUGGCGGGCUGGCGCGGAGCGGAGCUGCGGGGCGCGCGGCAUCCGAAACCAACCUGGAAAACACCAGCGCCACCGUCGGGGUGCGGUGGUAGACGCACUACCACCCUACUGCCAAGGCAGCCUGGAUCAUAUCACAGAACCUCGAUAGGGCCAGAGAUCAGAGAAGAGAAGAGAAUUUUGUUCCACCACACACCUACUGGAGACCUCAACAGCCAGGUGACAACUACAGCCACUGCCGUGACCACACAGUCCAGUCCAUAGACCAUGCCGUGCCCGGCGCCAGCACAGCAGGCGGGGGGUUCGGGGACCCAGCCGGCGGCACAGUCGCGGCUGGCGGAGCGGGAGGCGGAGUGGCAGCGUGCAGCGGCGCAGCUGACCACCACGGCGGCGCAGCAUUUCCACAAUAACCCGGUGGCUCUGGACCCCUGGCUCCACCGCACCUCUGCGGCAGCCGGGCAGCAGAACACGCCGGCGAGAGAACUGCAGUCGUAUGCGUCCCCGUCCCAGCACUCGGGUGAGGGGCCGCGGCGUUCCGCGCGGCUGCAGGAGCAGGCGGCGGGCGGGGCAGGACCUAGCACGGGGCCUGCCACGGCGGCGGCGGCAGCAGCGGCGGCGGUGGAGGGCGACCCUCGCAUGCCGCCCCCGGAUGCGUCCCUUCUGCGGGGUACGUGGCGGAGGCUGUGGGACAGCCACGCCAGUCGGGGGGCAAAGGUGCUGGUGUACCGGCUGCAACAUGCUUACCUGCCUUGCGGGCUGUACAGGGCGGGCAAGGGAAUUCGUCCACGGGUGACCACGGGGUGCGGGGGGUUGGGGGCGCACUGUCCUCACCCCGCCUGCGGGCCACCUGGCCCGCGGGCGUGGGCCAGCCUAACGCACAUCUUCCUGGAGUGUCCAGCUUAUGCGCAGGCGAGGACGUGGCUGCAGCAGCUGUGGGCCUGCAUUGCGCCCCAGGCAGCGGCGCCGCCAGUGACGGGCUCGGGCUUCAUGCUGGGGGACCGCAUGGGUAUGUGGGCCUCAGGCCCGCGGGGGGCGGGCGCGCUGCUGUGGAGCACUUUGCAGGCCACCGUCUUGUACGCCGUCUGGUGUGCGUACUGGUCCCGCGAGCCUGCUAAGCAGACGUCGGAGCAUGUGGUGUUUCCUUUCUGUUUUUUUUCUCUUUUCUUCUCUUCUUGCCCUGUCAGGGUUCUGGUCUCGGGGACCAGGCUGUCUUCAGGCAGCAGGGGGGCAGCGCGUCUGCCCCUGUUCAACCUUGUAAGGAUGAUUCCUCAAAAAAAAUGUGGUUCGGGAGGUGGUCAGCGAGCUGCGCAGGGUGAUGCAGCUGCGUUUCACUGCCGCCACGCUAACCCCUGAAACCCUGCACUCUGGGAAAAGGGGGGGGGGAAAUCCCCAGAAAAACAGGGGGUAGUUCCCCGGAAAAAUCUUCCCCGUAUGCUUUUCGAAGAAAGUAGGAGUUUGUACGGGGAAGUCCUUACGGGGAAGUUCUUACGGGAAAGUGAAGCCCUUUUUACGGGAAAGUUCAGCACCUGAAUGGGAAAGUCUUGGGAGCUGCUAACACACUUAGGAUCCACACUGUACACCACGCAAUACUGCGUUAUCCUUUCACAACACCGGCCACGCACCUGCUCCUCGUUGACAAGUCCAUACGCUCAUGCAACACUAGUACUACACCAAACCUCGUAUGAUGUCUGCCUUAUAUGUAUGCGUGCAAACUCUAACAUGCAACUAGCCCCAUCACUUGCGUGUCUGCUGGGUACGAUGCAUCCGAGAUGCAUCCGACAACCUUGAUGCCCACCUCCACCACAGCCGCCACAUCUCCCUACGACCAAACUCCGUCCUUGGCACCAUCAUACAUGCCCGCCUCCACCCCUAGUGCUGGACCAGCUGCUGCCCAUGCCGGAUCCUUAGUUGCGCCUCCACUGCCCGCUUGUUGGCUGUGUUGCCUGGUUGCGCCUGCAUGCAUGCGGCCACACAUAUAUGUUACAGCUAGCCACUCCGCUGCCACAAACGGCAGAGACGACACCUUGCAGCCAAAGUCAGGGAGGCAGCGUGUAAGAGACAAAAGCCCUGUGCACGCAGGGUUGCCAGGGAACCACCUUACGGGCACCUCAGCAUCUCCGUCAUGCUUCACACCGAUUUACCCAGCCACCUCCCACCAACACACACACAACGACGCACAAAGACUGCAUCUGUGUAUGCCAACAUGUAUCGUGGACACUCACCGUUGCUGGGCACAAUGUUGGAGGUGUAGUGGCAGUCAGCCAGCCGUCUGGGGGACGGGUCCGGAGGGAAAAAGCUGGGGUUGGGUGUGCGAUGGGACAGGGUUGGGUACCAAGGUGUGGCAGGGCAGGGCAGCGGGCGGGUAUGUGACACGGGAAUAAGAUAUCAUGGCAAGGUAGCCGCACAUAUAUGUUACUGCUCGUCAUUCCUCUGCUACAAACGGCAGAGACGACACCUUGCGGCCAAGGUCAGGGAGGCAGCGUAUAAGAGGCAAGAGCCCUGUGCACGCAAGGGAAUCACCUUCCGGCCACCUCAGCAUCUCCGUCAUGCUUCACACCGAUUUACCCCACCACCUCCCACCAACACACACAACGACGCACAAACACUGUGUCUAUGUAUGCCAACAUGUGUCGUGGACACUCACCGUUGCUGAGCACCAUGUCGGAGGUGUAGUGCCUGUCAGCCAGCCGUCUGUGGGACCGAUCCAGAGGGGAAACAGCAGAGGUUGGGCGCCAAGGUGUGGCGGGGCAGGGAAGCGGGCGGGUACAUGACACGGGAUCAAGGUAUCGUGGCAAGGUAGCCAUAGAUACCAACACCUUACAGGCAGGCAGGUAGGCAGCAAACAGUCAUUUGUUGAAGCCCCCCCCCGCCACCGAAGCCGCCUACGGCCCAGCACCUACGACAACUCCCUAAACCCAUCUCAUUGACUCACCCCAAAGAGCUCCUGAAACCGUUCCAAGAGCGAGAGGUUGAAUCCUGCACAACACACAACACACGCGGGGUGGACAUGGGGGGCGGGCGGGCGGCAAUCAGUUCGCCUGCAACAUGUGUUCUUAACGCAUCCCAUUGUCAUUGCAACCUGUCGACUAACCUGUGGACGAACGUGGGGUAGUGUUGCAGAGCAAUGUUGCAUGGCGAUGACGCGGGGGACCGAGAAGACAAACUUUGAAGCAAAGCUGAUAGAAAAGGACGCUGACUCUUAAACCUUACGUGACAGCUGGCUUCAGCUGACGUCUGAGCAGCGUCGCCGAGCCGGUCAACGAGUCGGCAGCGCGAGAAUUCGCGUCCCAAGCCAGCAAAGUAGCUACUGACAUUUGGGCUAGCCUUAACUUGUGUUCAAAACGUAAAUUAGCGGGGGAGAGCGGAGCAAGGGACAGCAACAUAAGUGCAACAGGCCAACAGCUGCAGGAACAGCUGAGCUCUUGCUGAGCCAAAAUGCAGUGCAUCAAGUAUAUGUAGGUACUAUAUUUAUGUAUGCUACUAUAUUUGUGUAAGUUAGCACGCUUGUUGCUUGAAGUCAGGCUCGCGAAACCCCAUGCAGAUGCUCGCUGGUCGCCUCUUCCCCCCCCCCCCCCCCCGCCCCGCCCCGCCCCGCCCCCCCCCCCCCGCCCCGUUUCCAUUCCAUCAGCCUCUAACGACUUCCCAAAUCCUCCCUGCCUACAUGCCUGUUCUCUGGGGCUCAAGGUGUGGAUGUGACAUUGGUGCCGCACCUCGUCCUACACCAGGCCCCGCCCACCCCCCCCCCCACCGCCACACACACACACUAGCCACGCUGCAUGCGCCACAUCCGCGCCAAAUCCUCAUGGACAUCAACCGCUUGCCACCGCUUGCCACAUGGGCUUCCCAUGGGCGGUCAGCUGUUUGCCAGCUGUUUGCGCCUGACAGCUCAGGUCACCGGCUGCACCAGACGAAAGAGUUCCGGUGAACCUCCGUGCAGUUCCGGGUUGGGUUGAAGUGGGGUGGGAUGGGGUCGACUGCCUGCAUUAUGUAUGGGGAUGGCUAUGGGCUUCCUGCCGGAGGAGGCUCUAAGUGCCUUCUCUCGUGAGGAGUUGUGGUUAGUGCGCCCGCCUGCGGGGCUUGCGCCACCUGUGUGGGAUGUGGUGUGUCUCGCUGCUAUGUCUGCCCUGGACUUUGGUCGGCAGCGUGUGGUUAUGGCCGGGUUGGCGGCGCGAGCGAAGCUGCCGUCGGCCCGGGUGCUGAGCAUUGGACUUGCUGUCGUAGCUGACUUCUGGGGUCGUCUCCAGACGUUUGUGACUUUGGGUAUCAGGCCAAAGGGUUGGGACGCUGUGCCGUUUGCGCAUCACUUCAUAUCUCGGGCUGUUGGUGACGGCAUGGUUUUGCGCUUGCCGUAUGACGCUGAUUCCCCGCCCCCCUCGCCGUGAGAGGUUGUGCGGUGGCUCUGUGUGUGGGAAGGAUGCACGUGUGGGCGACCGUUCUAGUACCUGGACGCUUGCGCCCUGGUUAGUGCGUGCGUGUGUCCUGUGGCCUAGACGUUUCCCGGCACUCCUGUGCCUAGGCUUGUGACGUUGAGGCACAGCGGUGGGGCUCUGGCGGGUUGAGGCUUGGCUAGGACUCACUGUGCGCGGAGUCACACGGACUUUGCCCGCGGGAGGGUUUGCAGCAAAGUCGGGGUUGGGCCCUGAUAGCAUGUGAUGGCUCGGCGUCUUCGGGAGCUGGGACUGUCCCCUCUGUAACAUCCGCAUCCAUUAUGUAACAAACUUUAAGGGCCUUAAUGAGCUUGAAAUUAAGGGAGCCUGCACAUAUGCGAGCACAAAUCCGCCAGCAGCAGGGACGUGGGGGUUCCGGGGAAACCUGGCUACGGGUAAGUUUUGCCCCCUUUCCGGGAAAGUUUUGCCCCGUUAUGGGAAAGUUCAGCAUCUUUCCGGGAACGGAUUUUUUUCCGGGGAAGACCUUUUCCCAGAGUGCUGUCGGCUCUGCCCACACAGCUUCUCACCGCACAGCUCAAGGCGGCUAAGCUGGAGCACUUUGUUGCCAUCUGGUCGGCGGGUGGCGCGCUUUGUGAAGUGGAGGAGGUUCAGGGUGGGUCACCGAAGUUGCACUUGCGGCUGACGCUUGCAUCACCUGUGCAGGCCCCCUAGGUUUCCUUUUGGGCGGCGUUUCUUUCCAGGCGCUGGCGUGGCGUAUUAUCGUCAUCAGCUUAUCUGGCGCCCAUGUGUUUUAGCUCUGGCUGGCGUCGCAGCGCCUGGGCGGCUGUGGGCCUUCCUGCACAGCGCGUCUUGCAGCGGGCUGGAGCCCGCUUAGUCAGCGCCACAUCUGGCCCGUUUAGUUUUCUGCUUGUGUCUCCUUAGCAGGUUUUCCUGGGGUGUUGCUUAAGCAACCGACUUGUGGGGGUGGGGUGGGUUUGGGCGGGGCGAGUGCGUAGCGCUGGUGUUUUCUUUUCUGGCGCGCGGUGGUGGUGGUUCUUGCGGUUAGGCUGUGGUGUAGGUUGGUGCUUGGGUUAGGUCUGGCGGUGUUUUUCUGCAACCCCUCCCAGGGGGCGGGGGCGGCCAGCCUCCUGCUCUGUCUGCCGGGUCGGGGUGGGGUGGGGUGGGAUGGAUGGGGGUGGUUGGUGGCAGUUUCGAGGUGUUUGCUUUCGGUUUCUUCUCUUUUCUUCUCUUCUUGCCCUGUCAGGGUUCUGGUCUCGGGGACCAGGCUGCUUUCAGGCAGCAGGGGGGCAGCGCGUCUGCCCCUGUUCAACCUUGUAAGGAUGAUUCCUCAAAAAAAAAAGCGGCGCCGCCAGUGACGGACGCGGGCUUCAUGCUGGGGGACCGCAUGGGUAUGUGGGCCUCAGGCCCGUGGGGGGCGGGCACGCUGCUGUGGAGCACUUUGCGGGCCACCUUCUUGUACGCCGUCGUCUGGUGUGCGUACUGGUCCCGCGAGCCUGCUAAGCAGACGUCGGAGCACGUGGUUCGGGAGGUGGUCAGCGAGCUGCGCCAAGUGAUGCAGCUGCGUUUCACUGCCGCCACGCUAACCCCUGAAACCCUGUCGGCUCUGCCCACACAGAUUGCAUUGGUUACAAGAGGGACUUGCUGACGCGAGUCACGAGCGACAUCUGCUCUGGACCUCAGGGACGUGCCACCUGCAUCGCCGACGACCUACUCUAGUAGUAGGCUUGCUCUCGUAAGAGCUCCAUUUACCUCCGGUUCUGCUCCUAACAUCGAGUGCUAGGACCCUGCUCAAUCACCCGACCAACCAGAACUACUGGAUUUUUGGGAGUCCGCAGCAAACCUUCCGGACUGAAUUCAGUCAAAUCAACUAAGGCCUAAACUCGUCCAGCCCACUGCAUGUCCGUAGUCUAUUCAUUCCGAUUGCAAUCGGAGGGGUGUAUGGGGGUCGAACCCAUGACCUCGAGCGAAUCCGUCCCUUGACGCUAUCCACUCGAAGCGGAACCGCCCACACAGCUUCUCACCGCGCAGCUCCAGGCGGCUAAGCUGGAGCACUUUGUGGCCGUCUGGACGGCGGGUGGCGCGUUUUGUGAAGUGGAGGAGGUUCAGGGUGGGUCGCCAAAGUUGAACUUGCGGCUGACGCUUGCAUCACCUAUGCAGGCCCCCUAGGUUUCCUUUUGGGCGGCGUAUCUUUCCAGGCGCUGGCGUGGCGUUUUAUCAUCAUCAGCUUACCUGGCGCCCAUGAGUACUAGCUCUGGCUGGAGUCGCAGCGCCUGGGCGGCUGUGGGACUUCCUGCACAGCGCGUUGUUUGCAGCUUUCUUCUAUGUCUUGCAGCGGGCUGGACCCCGCUAAGUCAGCGCCACAUCUGGCCCGUUUAGUGUUUCCUUAGCAG
rnacentral:lncRNA from 1 species